rnacentral:rRNA from 1 species
UACAGAGGGGGCAAGCGUUGUUCGGAAUUACUGGGCGUAAAGGGCGCGUAGGCGGCCCGUUAAGUCGAACGUGAAAUCCCCAGGCUCAACCUGGGAACUGCGUCCGAUACUGGCGGGCUUGAAUCCGGGAGAGGGAUGCGGAAUUCCAGGUGUAGCGGUGAAAUGCGUAGAUAUCUGGAGGAACACCGGUGGCGAAGGCGGCAUUCUGGACCGAUAUUGACGCUGAGGAGCGAAAGCCAGGGGAGCAAACGGG